rnacentral:lncRNA from 1 species
CAGUCGGGACGCGUAUUUACAUAGUAUACUACAGCACAGAGCACCAGAGAACUCUGCACUGCAGUAUAAUAUGUAGUUAAGAAAUGCCUUAUUUAUCACUACAUACUACACUACGCUACAGAGCAUUAGAAAAAAAAUGUUUUAUGUGAUUUGUUUGGUGCUGUAAAAUUGGUAGUAAAGUCCAGUUCAGAGAUCUAUUAGAAUCUUUGAUGUGUUGCAGAUGCCGCACUAACUAGUCCGUGCGCCUAUGUCAUAUUUAUUGUUGCAUGAUAUAUAUGUUUAAAUGGCAAAAUUUUAUAUUGUCUAUCUAUGAAAUCAUUUUAAAUAUACGUAAAACCCCAUGUUUUAUACUAUUUUUUAUUUUUUUUUGAAUAUGUAAAUUUUUAGAAAGAAAAUAAUUUAACAAGAAAAUAAUAUCAAAAAAUUGACCGCGGACUAAAAUCCAAGCAUCUUACAAAAUAUUUUAAACACUUCCAGCACUCACAGACUUGUCACCUCUUUUUAGCCAGUCUAUUAAACAAAGAUAAAACACCUGCGUUCAGGCGAUUCCUACUUUAGGCUGUGCAAGUGAUUGUGUAUCUCUCUCUAUCCCACUGAUUUUAAGAAUUACGGGGCCGUACCCAAAUAAAUUUUUGGGCAGUUUUUGUAUUACUUUCCACGUGUUUUUAAAGAGAUCUUUAAGGAUGGGUCUAUCGCCUUUAAAAUAGUUGUUGAAUGGGUCUAUCUCCUUUAAUAGUUGGGAGGGAGGCCAUGUGAGGGUAUUAUUUGAUGUGUUUUGCCGGUUAUGCUUUUUACACGUUUAUAAAAGUAAAGAAUUUAGAAUUUGGCCUGUAUUCGUCUAAAUUUUUUGCAGUUUUUACUGUGAGGAAGUGUGUUUAUUUAUUUGUGUUUGUGGAUUUGUUUUGGUAUUAUACCUAAAGACCUUAAAAUGUUUCGACCCUGGGAAAAUAGGCAGGAAAAUUUGGCAAAUGAAGAGGAAAGUGUUUGUGCGGGCUUAUGGAGACCGUGGGUGUACAAGAAAGACAAUAACAUUUGUGAUCAAAACAAUAAGAGUGAUCUGGACAGUGAUUUAGACUUACAUAGUUCUGAUAGUUCAUUUUCUAGUAUUGAGGAAGCAAAAAGAAGCAAGGGAAGUAGAAGCUACAGAGGAAAUCAAGCAGUUUUAAAACGUAAUUGUUUAAGUACAGACGCCAAACAAAUUUAUCUAUAUAUCUAUAAGAAUCUAAGGAAUGAUCCUCAGUUCACAAAUGAUUGUAGUGCUUUGCAAAAAACAGCGUUUUUAACAGGGGUUCCCUAUAGUACAAUAUGCCUGUAAAAAAAAAGGAUUUAAGACAGAAUAAAAAGGAAAGAUGCAGGACAAUCAAAGAAACUUGACACGGAUAUUGCCAAAUUGCUAAGGAAAGGUGUGUAUUCUAAAUACAAAAACAAUGAGGUUCUGACCAUAGACACACCUUAUCGGCAAAGGACAAACAUUUCUCAGUCUCAACCUUGCGGAGAUACCUGAUAAAACUUGGAUUUAAGCUUAAGAUGGUUAACAAAAGAGCUGCUGUAAUGGAAUUGUCAAGUGGUGUAUAGAAUAUUUGAGGAAAAUUUAAAAAAAUUGGGAGGAAGAAGGAUCCAUAUAUUAUUUAGCCGAAACAUGAUAUGAUACAUUUAUGAUUGAUGUAUGAUUUCUAUUCUCUAGGAAAAAAGUCCCUUUUUUGCCAUAGUAAGAAAACCAUAUUUUUAUUAAUAAAACAAGUUUAAAAUUUUGUUUUUUACAGCUUACUGCCCCUGUUUGUCCUUCAGUGACACAAUAAAGACUGCUUCUUCCACCAGUCUCUGGGAAAAACCCUUUUUUGCUAUGCUUACUACCCCUGUUGUCCUUCAGCGACACAAUGAAGACUGCUUCUUCCUCCAUUCUCUGGAAAAAAGUCCCUUUUUUGACAUGCUUACUGCCCCUGUUUGUCCUUCAGCGACACAAUAAAGUAUAUAUAAUGUAAUGCUUUACUAUCCAUAUGCUGAUGUGCGAGAUGAAGUUGGAAUCCAUGGCGGCAACAGAGAAACUGUUUCCUUCCUUAAUGGAAGAAACUGCUAAAGAACAAUGGCAAAAAAACAGAAUUUAAAAAAUUGUAUUAACUUUUUGGGCCAGAUUCAAAAGAGUGGUUAAAUUUAUAAAAGUAUUUAGUAUCCUCUCUGUAGUUUUAGGAUCCAGUAUACUUAAAAUGUAGUGUUUUGUAUAGGAUUUUUAGUUUUUAGUAAAAGCAUUUAUUUUUGUUAA